UACGUAGGGGGCUAGCGUUGUCCGGAAUCAUUGGGCGUAAAGCGCGUGUAGGCGGUUCGGUAAGUCCGCUGUGAAAGUCGGGGGCUCAACCCUCGAAUGCCGGUGGAUACUGUCGGGCUAGAGUGCGGAAGAGGCGAGUGGAAUUCCUGGUGUAGCGGUGAAAUGCGCAGAUAUCAGGAAGAACACCCGUGGCGAAGGCGGUUCUCUGGGACGGUACUGACGCUGAGACGCGAAAGCGUGGGGAGCGAACAGG
rnacentral:rRNA from 1 species